UACGUAGGGUCCGAGCGUUGUCCGGAAUUACUGGGCGUAAAGAGCUCGUAGGUGGUUUGUCGCGUUGUUCGUGAAAACUCACAGCUUAACUGUGGGCGUGCGGGCGAUACGGGCAGACUUGAGUACUGCAGGGGAGACUGGAAUUCCUGGUGUAGCGGUGGAAUGCGCAGAUAUCAGGAGGAACACCGGUGGCGAAGGCGGGUCUCUGGGCAGUAACUGACGCUGAGGAGCGAAAGCGUGGGGAGCAAAAGGG
rnacentral:rRNA from 1 species